CAUAGGUUUCUGCUAAGUCGCAAGACGAUGUAUAGGAGCUGACGCCUGCCCGGUGCUGGAAGGUUAAGGGGAUCUGUUAGAGCAAUCGAAGCAGUGAACUUAAGCCCCAGUAAACGGCGGCCGUAACUAUAACGGUCCUAAGGUAGCGAAAUUCCUUGUCGGGUAAGUUCCGACCCGCACGAAAGGCGUAACGAUUUGGGCACUGUCUCAACAACAGACUCGGUGAAAUUGUAAUUCCGGUGAAGAUGCCGGAUACCUGCGACAGGACGGAAAGACCCCAUGGAGCUUUACUGUAGCUUGACAUUGGGUCUUGGUACUACAUGUACAGGAUAGGUGGGAGGCUUUGAAACCAGGACGCCAGUUUUGGCGGAGCCAUCCUUGGGAUACCACCCUUGUAGUACUGGGACUCUAACCAUAGGCCAUGAAUCUGGUCUUGGGACACUGUCAGGUGGGCAGUUUGACUGGGGCGGUCGCCUCCCAAAAGGUAACGGAGGCGCUCAAAGGUUCUCUCAGUACGGUCGGAAAUCGUACGUAGAGUGUAAAGGCAAAAGAGAGCUUGAUUGCAAGACAUACAGGUCGAGCAAGGAUGAAAAUCGGACUUAGUGAUCCGGUGGUUCUGCGUGGAAGGGCCAUCGCUCAACGGAUAAAAGCUACCCUGGGGAUAACAGGCUUAUCUCCCCCAAGAGUCCACAUCGACGGGGAGGUUUGGCACCUCGAUGUCGGCUCAUCACAUCCUGGGGCUGUAGUAGGUCCCAAGGGUUGGGCUGUUCGCCCAUUAAAGUGGUACGCGAGCUGGGUUCAGAACGUCGUGAGACAGUUCGGUCCCUAUCCGUCGCAGGCGUAGGAAAUUUGAGAAGACCUGUCCUUAGUACGAGAGGACCGGGAUGGACGUACCUCUGGUGUACCAGUUGUCCUGCCAAGGGCAUGGCUGGGUAGCUAUGUACGGAAUGGAUAAGCGCUGAAAGCAUCUAAGCGCGAAGCCAACUUCAAGAUAAGAUUUCCCACCGCAAGGGUAAGACCCCAGAAAGACUAUCUGGUUGAUAGGUCGAAGGUGUAAGUGCAGCAAUGUAUUUAGCUUAUCGAUACUAAUAG
rnacentral:rRNA from 1 species